UACGGAGGGUGCGAGCGUUGUCCGGAAUCACUGGGCGUAAAGGGCGCGUAGGCGGCGCGGGCAGUCAACGGUGAAAGCUUGGGGCUCAACCCCGAGUCGGCCGUCGAUACUCCCGUGCUUGAGCACUGUAGAGGCAGGUGGAAUUCCGGGUGUAGCGGUGGAAUGCGUAGAGAUCCGGAAGAACACCGGUGGCGAAGGCGGCCUGCUGGGCAGUAGCUGACGCUGAGGCGCGACAGCGUGGGGAGCAAACAG
rnacentral:rRNA from 1 species